CACGUAGGGUGCGAGCGUUGUCCGGAAUUAUUGGGCGUAAAGAGCUCGUAGGCGGUGUGUCGCGUCGGCCGUGAAAACCUGCAGCUUAACUGUGGGCUUGCGGUCGAUACGGGCAUCACUGGAGUUCGGCAGGGGAGACUGGAAUUCCUGGUGUAGCGGUGAAAUGCGCAGAUAUCAGGAGGAACACCAUGGCGAAAGGCAG
rnacentral:rRNA from 1 species